CCUGUAAAAAUCAUAUAACAUUCAUAAUUUACAUUCAAUAUUAUUCACUAAAUUCAUUCAACAUUAAUAAUUAAAAUCAUCUAACAUUCAACAAAUAUAACAUCUUAUUCCUAACACAACAUUAAUUCAUGAUCUAAUAUCUAAAAUUGAAAGAGAAUUCAUAAGGAGCUGAACAAGAGGAGUUGGAGUCGGAACUUGAGGAGUAUUGCUAUCUUUCCCUUCUAGCACCAUCAUUGAAUCCUUAUUCCGGAACAGUUGACAAUUUAAUAUAGACUGAAAUAAAAAAUAAUUCUAAAUUAAGAAGAUUUAUUAGUAAAAACGUAUUUUAAAUUUGAAAAUCCAAUGUUUCUAAUCAAAUUAAAAGUAGAAUAUGCAUCUCUAUUACUAAAAUAAACAUGUCAAAUUUUUAAAAUGUAGAUAGUUAUAACUUGUAAAGAUAAACAGAACCUUUUAAGUAAACUCUUAACUUGGAUAUUCCUAUUAACUAAAGUACUAAACAAUAUCCCCCACAAGUAAAAAAUACCUGAUUUUGUUCAAAAUACCUGAUUCUGUUCACAAAAAAUUUGAAUAAGUAAAGAAUUAGUUAGUAUAUUUAAAAUACCUGAAACAGGAUCUUCCACACACUAUAUCAAUCUAAAAAAUAGACAUUUAUACAUAAACAUAAUUAACAUACAUUGACAUACAUUUUAUACAUAACUGAUGAACUCGGAAAAUACCUAGUGUGUCCCGUCCAUGAGAACCAGCUUCCUUUCGGAAACAUGUCGACGUUCCAGCAUACGCAUUGUGAGUUUGUGACAAUAAAUAUUUCAUAGACAUGGUGUUUUUUAUUUUGAAUUCUGAAAUAGCUAAUAUAUUGUAUAUACACACCUCUUGGGUACAUUAGAUGGAUAAAGUCGAUCACCAAGAUGGUAAGCACACAAUGGCUGUUCAGCAGUAGCAAUCAAAUAUUAAUCAUCUCCUUCUCCUGUGACCUGGUGAAACAUAGACAGUGAAGUUAGAGUCCAGAAGUGAAAUUAUUUAUUUACAUCUAAAACCAUGAAACCAAACUGAUUGAAAUAGAAAAAACACAGUUAACUGAAAACCUGAUUUAGUUUCAGACAUUCAGUAACCAUACACCUAAAAAACUUUGUUAGUGUUUUCAAUAAAAAAACAAAAUGGAUUCCUAAUCUAACUAAUUCCAUUAUCUAGUUAAUGUGUAUUGAACUAUAUUCACUGCAUU
rnacentral:lncRNA from 1 species